AGUUGGGUCUCUCUCUCCCCACUCCCUCCAUUACUAUCCCCACCAACGCAAAUCAACACCAAUUCCCAACCGAUAUGAGCAACGAAAAACCCUAGGCGUCGAUUUCAUCCUAUUUUGCUGAGGACGAUGAGUCUGAGAGUUUAGGCGACUGGUUUCGAAGGUUGUUUUGGUUGUUUGUCGGCGACGGGAGGUGUGCAUUUUAGCCAUCGCGAUUUCGCCAUCUAUUUUGAAGGAAUUUUGGACGAAUUAAGUUGUAUUAUGGGGUGAAAAUAAAGGCCACGACUGAGCCGGAAGAGGAACAUGAUAUCCAUUAUGAAGACGAGAGGUAUUUUGUAAACAUACUUGAGCAGCCAGUGUGCCACCUAUGGACACAUGUUGGCCAAAGCGAAAACUAAGGUGGUUCCCAUGAAGUGGCGAACUAAAAACAAUAGCGCCGACUGUAUAUUGUUUAGAAUGAGGUACAUGGAAACCUAUAUAGGGACCAAACUUGCAGAUUGUAAUUGUGAUCUUACAAGUAAGAUCUCAAAGGCGUUCCAACUACUAUGUGCGAAGUUCGGUUCACAAUAGUUUACUACAGCGAUAACACGGUCGUUGAUACCAUGAUGAGUAUAACCUCCAUGCACUUUGAGGAGGGGCUAAUGAAGGACCUAUUGAGGUGGAUAAGAUGGUCUCGAAGUAUGGAAAUGUGUUGUAUUAGAAGAAUAAACUGUAUUUUAUUAUUUUUUGGCAUUAGAAAAUAUGGAAGGAUUGAUUUUGGUUAUCCCAGGCAUACUUCUACCAUGUUAAUCGAAAACCUGUCAUUUCUAA